UGCAAGACAAGGCGCAGCUCAAGGAGGCAGCCAUGUUCAUCGACACAGUAGUUCUCGCCGGUAUCGGUACGGUCGCGCUGAUGGUCGCCUUCUUCGGCGGCGUCGGUCUCUUCAUCUGGAAGGACUCGCACAAAAAGGCCAAGGCGACCACCAAGGCCGAGUGAUCCUUCCGCAACAGUGCACGCAAGGCAUUUAGGGCGACUUCGGUCGCCCAUUUUUUUG
rnacentral:sRNA from 1 species